CUUGGCAACAUGGCCUCGUGCACUAGCUUCUGCAGCACCGACUGUCUUCACGUACCAGCUGUCCUCGAGUGUGAAUGCGUCAAGAAGUAAAGCGGAAACGUCAAAAGAGAUAUAUCUGCUCCGACUUGCCCACGCAGGGCCCGUGGAGAGGGGUAAUGAAUGGGCCUGUGUGUGCCAGAGUUUGCAGUAUAUGUGACUACAUGACAUCAUACUACAGUUCUGGGUCCCACCACCUGCAGAAGUUCUCUGAUGACUCUGCAGUGGUAAGGCGGAUUAGAGCAUAGGACAGUGAUCACAGACUUUGUGGAGUGGUCCAUGGCAAACCACCUACUCCUGGAUGUGGACAAAGACCAAGAAGCUGGUCACUGACUUCAGGAGGAAGAGGACACCAGUGGAAUCCAUCACCAUCCAGGACCUGGAAGCUGGAAGUAGUGGCCCAAUACAAGUACCUGGGAGUCUACAUGAACAACACGCUGGGCUGGAGGGACAACAGUGAUGCUGUUUACAAGAAGGGCCUGAGUAGACUCUACUCCAUUAUGGACAAUCCAUCCUAUUCACUACACCAAACAUUAGAGGGACGGAGGAGCUCAUUCUCCAGCAGACUGAUUCAGCUCCGCUGCCAUAGUGGACGCUACAGAACUUCUGUUAUAUCUUACUCUGUUCAGCUGUAUAACAGUCCACCUUAUUGUAAAACCUAAGCUACUAUGACCAAGUAGUUUCA